CCUAGCAACAAGCUAGCGGCACGCCAGACUCGCGUGCAUACGUCAUGCGCCAGACAAGCCGCAGGAGUGAGCGAGGACGGUCGUACGUGCGAACCUCGCGUGCUCGGCGACCCGUCUGUUUUGGAUAUAGCCCAUAUUUUGGGGGCUCCCGGCCUUCUCUAUGCUUCUCUUGCGUAUCGUCUGCAUUUCGACACGGCACCACUGCACUACUGGGCUACGGCAAGCUGAUGGCAUCCGGUGGAGCAUCGUACGGCAACGACUGCUGCUUACCUGGUACCACAACUUCAGAUGAAUGCAGAAGAAGCCCGGAACGAGCAUUUAUAUAGAGCAAAAUAAACAUUUCAUCAUUUCAGAAGACGUCUUUCGUUUUCUUUAUGAAAUUGCACCUGACAGAUUCGGCGCAGUCUUGUAAAGGUCAAUCGCAAUCAUUUCUACUUGUUAAUGAAACGAUUCCACGCCAAGGCCACGCGAGGUUCAGCAGAAGCGAAAAAAAAAAAAAUGAAUGCCGCGCCGAGCAGCGGAGCCGGCGCGGCGGGUACCAACUGGUGUUCAAAACGCGCGCGCCCAAAACCGAAACCGGAAGGAGUCAACAACAACCGCUUGGUGUGCUGCAGUCAAUUCGGCCGCUGGGCUCUAUGGGAGUGUCCGCUCUUGUUGAAAUUUUUCUCUAUGGGCAAACGCCUGUUAGAUUUAGCGGAAAUUCCCCCUCCUCGCAUGACUGUUGCGCAUAGAGCAGGGCCUGUUGCCAGCAAACAGCGUCGGAUACGCAAGCGCACUGGAAACGUGGAAGCGCUAAUAUACUCCCGGUAGUUGUUAGGUGCUCCUUGCGUACCUAUGUUAAUGCUUAAGCAUUCUAGGGAUUCUUUCCUCGGAACUUUGUCCGUCCGUCCGUCCAUCCGCUUUUCAGUUUGUAACUUGUGGCACGAUACACUGCAUGCAUAGGUAUGGACGUCAGACUCUGGAGUUUUGCAAGACGCGUAGCGCCACCUACCGGUGCGAAGAGGCAGUAAUUGAGUAGUGCGAAGCUAGACUCCCUUGCUAAGUUGCCUAUGCAGCUAGCGACUGCGAAACAACGAUUUAACUAGAUUUUGGCCCGUAUUGCGAGCGUUUUGCGCAUUUAACACCCCGACAGAGAGCUAUGAAAUUCUAGCUAGUCGGACACGCCGCCGAACUGCCAUAAAGCGCUUGCUGGCUCACUUUUCAGACUGAUGGCGCAAACGACGGCAACCGCGAUAGCUCCACGCGCUACGAAGAAACGCCGCAAUCGACGCUACUGUUGUGUUGUAAAUUGCCAUGAACGUGAAGGACGGAAUAACAACGUUCAGUUUUGCCGAUUUCAAUCGCGAUCGUAUGAAGGGGAAAGGCGAGAGCGCUGGAUACGGGCCGUUCAACCUGUUGGGCAAUCGAAUUACUUGCAUUCCCCACAACACAGCGGCUCGCAUGAGAAAGUGCGACAAUUUUGUUCUUCUGUAAUUGUGUUGCGUAGCCCUGACGGAGGACCGUGGUAACCAAGCGAAAACUCAAGAAUGUGCAGCCGUCACUUCGUUGGUAACCGAAAAAACAACGUUCCGAACCAUCCUUCUUAUGUGCCAUGGAUAUCUCCACCUUUUAACAGACGUCCGCCUCCGCUUGACUCAACAAGUAGAACGGAGAGAUUCGGCAGGUCAGCUUAACCAAACAUUUUAGUUCGUUUAUGAAUUCAAAAUCCUGUUUUAGAGCAUCGUUGUAUCGCGAGCUCAUUUCUACUUUCGGUAUCUUGUAUGUCCUGCGCCGAUACAACAAGCACGCUUCGCAAUGUGCUGAGCCUGCUCGACUGCGUUUUUCAAAUGUGAGCAAUGAAGUUGCUGUAGGAUCACUGGACAAGUAAUUGCGAAGUAACGUACGUGUGUAAAGAAAAAAAAUGUCGCGUUUAUUUGCAUUUAUUUGUGCGCGCUUGUUGCUCGAAGCGUCUGCGAAAAGUUCAAAUUAAGGUAUGAGCGAUGCUGUAGCUCCUGCGAGAAAGAUGCAGCGCGCAGGCACUGUAGGAAGCUUUCUUUCGUUAUGAUCGCACGCUGUUUGCUGCCUUGGAAAACGUUUUCUGUUUGCUGCCCUGGUAAAGGCUAUGAAAGGAUUUACUCUCUGUACAUAAUUGCGAGACAAAACAUUACGAUAAAUUACAUAAAAAUAUGGGAGAUACUUAAGUCUUGCGUUCAGGACAUAUUCAAUAUGAACCAAUUUGAAAUGCUUAGAUUAUUAUGCUGAUAUGCCUAUAGACAAACCUGAUACUCUCUGUACUUGCGAGUUGCAGCACGCCGAAAUAAAACUUGAGACUUUAUUUUAUAUUGUACACGUACUUCGCCCUACUGAGCUUCCUUUCCGAAGCGUGGAUGGGCGGAAGACGCUUUCCAGGUCCCUGAUUUUUAGGAAACCGUGCCUCAACACAAACGAAAGAGAAGGGUCCAUUGUGGCCUAUGCACCUUCGCUUGCGGACAGCUCUCCUUGCACUACCCAGUUCGCGCCAAGGCUCCGAUGGGGGCGCUGGUGACAGGUUUUUUCGCAGCGCCGCCUGGGCAGAGUCUGAGGUCUAUACGUGAGGUCGUACGGAGCCAUACAGUGUUCCUGCCAUCAGCAUGGUGUCACUCUGGGUCAACGUCAGUCUUCGUUGAUGAUCAGCACAAAAACACGCCCAUAGAAAUCUUCCAAAUUUUUUAGCACCUCUGAUUUUAACAGCGCAUUUUCGUGUUUGCGACCACUGGAACUGAUCCUGCAGGAUGACUAGUAAAUUGUGUAGCGUACCCGUGAUCUCUUCUGUUCCACACCUGCAACCAUGGAUGAAACGCUGCUCCCAGCGAGGGGUAACUUCCUCAUGGGGCGACGCACCUGUAAACUCCGGGUUAAGUUUUGUCUCUGUGACUGUUGAAGCAAGCCCACACAAAUCCUCUGUUACCUUUUGAUACAGGUGAAUUUGUACAAUGCAUUUUUGUGUCUAUGACUGCUGAAGCGAGCAUGCUGAUAACCUUUAGUUAAUUGAGUAGUCGCCAAGGUACCAGUGACGGCUUCAGCAACAUUUGGUUGUGACCACGGAAAGGUCUUAUUCAGUUUCUGUUUACUUGUUUAGAGGCCUUUGAGCCUGUGAACAAUUUAAGUGAAUUUGUAUCUGUGACCACUCAACUACCGCAAGUAUCUUGUCACUUCUAGUACCUGUGAAAUCAGUUUGGUUUUGUGCUGAAGCAAGUGUCUUGUAACUAGUAUCUUGUCACUUCUAGUACCUGUGAAAUCAGUUUGGUUUUGUGCUGAAGCAAGUGUCUAGUAACUGCAUUUGUACCUGCGAACUCUCCAGUAAUGUUCGUGUCUGCAACUGCCUAAGUGAUCCUUUAGUAAUAUUAAUGCCCAGUGUAUCUAUCAAAUCUUUAGUAAUUUUACUGUGUGACACCAUUGGAGC